UACGAAGGGGGCUAGCGUUGCUCGGAAUCACUGGGCGUAAAGGGUGCGUAGGCGGGUCUUUAAGUCAGGGGUGAAAUCCUGGAGCUCAACUCCAGAACUGCCUUUGAUACUGAAGAUCUUGAGUUCGGGAGAGGUGAGUGGAACUGCGAGUGUAGAGGUGAAAUUCGUAGAUAUUCGCAAGAACACCAGUGGCGAAGGCGGCUCACUGGCCCGGUACUGACACUCAGGUGCGACAGCGUGGGGAGCAAACAGG
rnacentral:rRNA from 1 species